rnacentral:rRNA from 1 species
AUUGAACGCUGGCGGCAGGCCUAACACAUGCAAGUCGAGCGAGCGGCGCACGGGUGAGUAAUGUAUGGGGACUGCCCGAUAGAGGGGGAUAACUACUGUAAACGGUAGCUAAUACCGCAUACUAUCGGAUAACCCAUAUUGGAUUAGCUAGUAGGGGGGGUAAUGGCUCACCUAGGCGACGAUCCCUCGCUGGUCUGAGAGGAUGAUCAGCAAAACUGGGACUGAGACACGGCCCAGACUCCUACGGAGGAAGCAGUGGGGAAUAUUGCACAAUGGGCGCAAGCCGGAUGCAGCCAUGCCGCGUGUAUGAAGAAGGCCCUAGGGUUGUAAAGUACUUUCAGUCGGGAGGCGUUACCGACAGAAGAAGCACCGGCUAACUCCGUGCCAGCAGCCGCGGUAAUAC